GUAUAAUUCCUCUUGGUUCUUGGCCGUAAAUAGUUGCCCUGAUGGGGUUCAAGCAAGCAUUUCUGCGCUAUAUCGGAAUCUUGCUGUAGGAGGACCUUGGUGGACUGGAAUUGCAAGAAAAAGCAUAAGACAAUGGGCUUAUGGUUCAAUAGAUUUGCCGUUGUUUGGAUGUCUUGCUGUAAGAAUACCAAGAAGUGAAAUUCCCUUACAGGAGGUUCUCUGUGAUACAGAAUUGCCAUCGCUCUGCAUAAAGGGAACAAUUGAGGAAAAAUUCGAAACAAAAGAUUUGAAUGAUG